rnacentral:rRNA from 12 species
AGUCAGGGGAAACCCUGAUGGAGGCUCGUAGGGAUUCUGACGUGCAAAUCGAUCUUCAAAUUUUGGUAUAGGGGCGAAAGACUAAUCGAACCAUCUAGUAGCUGGUUCCUCCCGAAAUUUCCCUUAGGAUAGCUGCAACCGAACAGUUUUAUCAGGUAAAGCGAAUGAUUAGAGGCCUCAGGUGUGGAAUGCUCUUGACCUAUUCUCAAACUUUAAAUGGGCAAGACGGGACACUUGCUUUAUGUUUAUCAGCCCUCGGGCUGUGAAGUGUCCCUGCGAAUGGAAGUUGUUAGUGGGCCAUAGCUGGUAAGCAGCUCUGGCGAUGCGGGAUGAACCGAACGCUGAGUUAAAGUGCC